CCCUUAGAUGUCCUGGGCUGCACGCGCGCUACACUGGAAGUUACGGAUUGAGAUACUACCUUGUCCGAAAUGGUCCGGGUAAUCACCUAAAAGCUUGUCAUAAUUGGAAUGGAUUAUUGUAACUGGUAAUCCUGAACGAGGAAUUCCUAGUAAGUCCCAGUCAACAGCUGGUACUGAUUACGUCCCUGCCCUUUGUACACACCGCCCGUCGCUACUACUGAUUGGACGUUUAAGCAAGAUUUUUAAACACUGACAGUGUGUAGUUCACGCUAUACUACAGUGAGAAGAAGAAGAUCGAGCUUACUUGUCUAGAGGAAGUAAAAGUCGUAACA
rnacentral:rRNA from 1 species